GAUGAACGCUAGCUACAGGCUUAACACAUGCAAGUCGAGGGACCGGCGCACGGGUGAUUAACACGUAUCCAACCUUCCCUUUACUCGUGGAUAGCCUUUCGCAAGAAAGAUUAAUACCCGAUGUCAAGGAUGGGGAUGCGUUCCAUUAGGUUGUUGGUGAGGUAACGGCUCACCAAGCCUUCGAUGGAUAGGGGUUCUGAGAGGAAGGUCCACCACAUUGGAAAUGAGACACGGUCCAAACUCCUACGGGAGGCAGAAGUGAGGAAGAUUGGUCAAUGGGCGUUAGCCGGAACCAGCCAAGUAGCGGGAAGGAUGAAGGAUUAGGGGUCGUAAAAUUCUUUUAUAUAAGAAUAUGUAUUAUAUGAAUAAGGAUCGGCUAACUCCGUGCCAGCAGCCGCGGUAAUAC
rnacentral:rRNA from 1 species